GCUAGUGUGGCUCAAUGGCAGAGCAGCUCAUUCGUAAUGAGCAGGUUGGGGGUUCGAUUCCCUUCACUAGCUCCA
rnacentral:tRNA from 1 species